UGUGAAAUGGGAAAUACAUUAUUAUUCACCUGGAAGAGAGUAACCUGACAUCACAUUUACUAAAAAGGCAUAAUAUUCUUUCUGUGAGAUGGUUGAUCUGAUAUUAAACAUUUUGUUUUUGAAAGGGCCCAGCAGGGAAGAUCAGACUCACCUGAAUCCAGCUGUGUGUCCAUGAAGAGUGACCAGUCUAUGAUACUGUCUAUAGAAUUCAGACAGAAAGCCUUCCCUACAAAACAAGGGGUCCAGCAGGAGAGAUCAGACUCACCUGUACCCAGCUGUGUCCAUGAAGAGUGACCAGUCAAUGAAGCUGCCUAUAGAAUUCAGACAGGCAGUCUUCCAGACAAAACAAGGAUGCUCGAAGACCACUAUCUAUUUUGUGAUGAAAGAGCUGAAGAGGUUCAAAAUGUUUCUGAGUCCUGAUCUUCCAGAAUGCUUUGAGAGUCAGAGGGAGGAUGCAGAAAUGGUGGACGCUGAAGAUGAGAAGCAGGAGAGCAUUUGCCAGAGAGGGGGCUCGGCAGAUCACACUGCAUUUCCUGAGGAACAUGAACCAGAAGGAGCCAGCUGACAUAAUGGAGAAAGGUAAGCAAUCUAGUUCACUGUGCCGUAUUGUAUUCACUGUGAUUACUGGUUCGUUAUUUUCACUUAGAAAUGUACAUUAUCACCUAAACGUGAUUGAAAAUAAAAGGCCUCAUUGCCUCCUAAAGGGGGAAAUAUGUGUGAACUGUGUUUCCAAAGAUAAUAAAUAUUACUGGAUAAAAAAUCUGAAACGCAAAGCAUCUAUGAGUACUAAAGUUUUGUGUUUUGUUUGACCAUUCAGAUGAGCUUCAUAUAUAAUGAACCAGAAUCAGAUGGGAGUUUUAGCUAAGGUCCUUGGCCCAAUCCAGGUGAAACAUAUUGAAACAGCAUCCAGGAGACUAACAACACACAACAUGCCAAUCAAAUGUAAUGACUUCUUUAAACCCCGACCUGCUCAAGAACAAUGGCAUUGAUGUUACAGAAGUGUCAGUGUACUCAGGAGUGUGCACACAGAUAUUCAGAGAGGAGGGGUGUACUCCUUUGUUCCCCUGAGCAUCCAGGAGUUUCUGGCUGCUUUAUAAGUUUUCCUCACAUUCACCAACAGCAGCACAAAUCUACUGGCGAUACAGAGAUCAUUAUCCUGGUAAUCUACAUUACCUUUCAGGCACAAAUCAAUUAACAAUUUACACAAUAGCGCAGUGAAGAAGACCUUACAGAGCAAGAAUGGACGCCUGGACCUCUUCCUCCGCUUCCUUAUUGGCCUCUGACUGGAGUUCAAUCAAACUCUCCUAUGAGGCCUACUGACACAAACAAGGAGCCCACAGACCCCCAAGGACACAGUCAAAUACAUCAAAAAUAAGAUCAGAGAGAAUCCCUUUCCAGAGAGGUGUAUCAAUCUGUUCCACUGUCUGAAUGAGCUGUAUGACCAUUAUCUGGUGGAGGGAAUAUAAAGCUACCUGAGCUCAGGGAGUUUCUCAGAAACCAAACUCUCACCUGGACAGUGGUCAGUUCUGGUCUUUGUUACUGACUUCAGAAAAGAAUCUGGAUGUGUUUGACCCUCAAAUGAGAGUCUUCUGAGGCUGGUGCCAGUGGUCAAAGCCUCUAGAACAGUUAAAUGAGUGCUUGAAUAACUUUUUACCUUUAUUUAACUAGGCAGGUCAGAUAAGAACAAAUUCUUAUUUUCAAUGACAGCCUAGGAAAAGUGAACUGCCUUGUUCAGAAUGACAGAUUUGUACCUUGUCAGCUCGGGGAUUUGAUCUUGCAACCUUUCGGUUACUAGUCUAACGCUCUAACCACUAGGCUACGCUGCCAUCCCAAUAGCUAUUUCCCUGUUGUAUACCCCAUAAUACAUCUUGUUUCAUUUUCUUUUAUAACUUCCACAAGUUUUCCUCAUUCUUUCUUGAGCUCUAGUUCAAGUUAUUGUGAUAUAGUUUCACUGUGUGUAAUUAUUCUUAUUUCAUGCUCAGACAAUGUAACCUCACAGAAAGAAGCUGUGAAGUGUUGGCCUCAGUUCUCAGCGCAAACUCCUCACACCUGAAGGAGCUGGACAUGAGUGACAACGACCUGCAGGAUUCAGGAGUGAAACUGCUUUCUAUUGGACUAGGGAUUUCACUUCUGUAAACUAGAGACAAUGAAGCUGUUGAAAUGUAACUUCACAGAAAGAUGCUGUGAAGAGCUGGCCUCAUUUCUCAGCUCAAACUCCUUACACCCGAGGCAGCUGGACCUAAGGGACAACGACCUGCAGGAUUCAGGAGUGAAGCUGCUCUCUGCUUAACUCGAGUCCACUCUGUAAACACUGAGCGAAGGUAUUAUGUGGUUAAUGAGACAUUAGAAUGGGUAUUAUAGUACAUUGACGUUAUUGUUGUAAUCGAUGCCUAGUGUGAGCCAGCUUUACUCUGAUUGUUAUAUCAAUUUGUAGAUUGUCGCAGAGGGAGGUUGUGCUUCACUGGCCUCAGCUCUAAAGUCAAACCCCUCACAUAUGAGAGAGCUGGAUGUGAGCUACAAUAACCCGGGAGACUCUGGAAGGAAGUUGGUCUCUACUAAACUGGAGAAACUAUUACCUGUGCACACUUAAGGGCAGGCUACCUGGUAGUAGUAAAGGGUUUAAGUAACCUUUAAGAAGCUACUGCCUAAAAACUGCAGUUGUCAGGUGCGUCGUAAAAAGUGGACCAAGGCGCAGCGGGUAUCGUGCUCAUCUUCCUUUUUAUUUGGAUAAACGUGAACACUUAGAACAAAAAUAACAAACAACGACGAAAACAGUCCUGUAAGGCUACACAGCUAUACACAGAACAACUACCCACAAAACCCAUGGAAAAACACCCCAACUAAAUAGGACCUUCAAUUAGAGGCAACGAGGAACAGCUGCCUCCAAUUGAAGGUCAGCCCAAUAAACUAAACAUAGAAAUAUAAGAACAAACAUAGAAAUAUAUAAACAUAGAACAUAACCCAAAAACACCCGAAACACACAAAACAACCACACCACUGUCACAUCCUGACCAACUACAAUAACAAAAUGACCCCUUUUCUGGUCAGGACGUGACAGUACACCCCCCCCCCCCCCAAAAGGUGCAGACAACGAAUGCACCUUAACCAUAAGACAAACAAAACCCCACAACAAAAACCCAAAACUACAGGGAGGGAAGGGUGGGUGGCCACCGUCACCGACGGUUCCUGUGCAAACACCCCCCCUUCCCCAAUACUCCCCCCUACGGAGGUGGCUCUGGUUCUGGCCCUAGUCCCCAACCUAACAACAACUCAUCAGGUCGAUGACACCCUAUAGCUCCUUUGCUGCUCCUUUCUCCGCUGCUUGGUCCUCGUUUGGUGGGUAGUUCUGUCAGGUGCGUCGUAAAAAGUGGACCAAGGCGCAGCGGGUAUCGUGCUCAUCUUCCUUUUUAUUUGGAUAAACGUGAACACUUAGAACAAAAAUAACAAAAAUAACAAACAACGACAAAAACAGUCCUGUAAGGCUACACAGCUAUACACGGAACAACUACCCACAAAACCCAACUACCCACAAAAAACACCCCAACUAAAUAGGACCUUCAAUUAGAGGCAACGAGGAACAGCUGCCUCCAAUUGAAGGUCAGCCCAAUAAACUAAACAUAGAAAUAUAAGAACUAGAACAAACAUAGAAAUAUGUAAACAUAGAACAUAACCCCAAAAAACACACAAAACAAACACACCCCUGUCACGUCCUGACCAACUACAAUAACAAAAUGACCCCUUUUCUGGUCAGGACGUGACAGCAGUGUUGUUCCAAUUGUAUUGAGCACCUAUAUUUGCCAUAAGUCUUUGAUAUUUGUAUAUGGUGAUUAAGUUCAUAAUUUAUUAAUAAUAUCUUUUUUGGUCAUUACAGUAACGAAAGUGACUAACAACAUCAUGAUGUGAAGGGAACUUUACAUAAAGCCUACAGGUAUAAUUCAUUAUGAUGCGGUUUUGUCAUAAGCAAGUAUGACCCCAUAUAAUGCUUAUAACCAUCUCAUAAUGAUUCUGACUAAAUACCAGACAUUUUGAGUCAAUGACUCAACGAUUUUCGACAUAGACAUAAACUUAUUAUAAGCAUUUCAAUAACACAUUAUAAAGGCUUUUACAUGCUUAUAACAAGUAAUAAAGUACUAUACCUGGAGACUUGAAGUGUUACUGAUGCCUUUGAGGUCACACAGGACCAAAACACAGCCAUAUUGUGAUCACUCUAAGAUAUUUAAGCACAGGCGCCUGCUGAGGGGAGGACGGCUCAUAAUGGCUGGAACGGCGCAAAUGGAAUACAUGGAAACCAUGUGUUUGAUGUCGUCCAUACCAUUCCACUUAUUCCGCUCCAGCCUUUACCACAAGCCCAUCUUUCCCAAUUAAGGUGCCACCAACCUCCUGUGAUUUUGAGGUGUGGCCACAGUUGCUGUGUAGACAAGGGCUGACCGGGUACUGUUAUUGGGAGGCAAACUGGAGUGGGAUAUGGGCUCUUGUAGGGGUGACAUGUAAAAGACUUAGCGGGAGAGGAGAGGAUUUUGACACAAUGAUAAGUCAUGGAGUCUGCUGUGCUCUAACUACAUAUUCUUUAUGGCACAACUAUACGCAGACUACCAUACAUACACUACGACUCUGUUGCAGGUGGGGGUAUCUGGACUGGUUGGUCCUUCUACAGCGUCUCCACUGGCACACUUGUACACAUUCUGGCUCCACAUUCACUGAGCCUCUCUACCAAGGGUUUAGGGUUGAUAAAGUCAUUGACUCUUUUUCAUGAUUGAAUUAUAUUCAAAGAAUCUCAAACAUACCCUGUGACGUUGGAUUUACAGAUGUUCUCUAUCCUCUAUGUCUCAUUUUAACCACUAGAAAUAAGUAUAAACUGUGAAAUGGAUAAAAACGUUUGAAACGAGAAGGAUAAUGACACCUAUCACUUACUUGUAAAUGUUUAAUUGGCCAUUCAGGCAUAUGGUCAAAAAGUGCCGUUUUUUUUAUGGUUGUCACUGUAGAUAGGUUCUGACAAACUGACCACUGAAUGACCAACCAAAAAGUCUGCAUGUAUAAUAAAGAUAUUUCCC
rnacentral:lncRNA from 1 species